rnacentral:rRNA from 1 species
GACGAACGCUGGCGGCGUGCUUAACACAUGCAAGUCGAACGGAAAGGCCCUGCUUUUGUGGGGUGCUCGAGUGGCGAACGGGUGAGUAACACGUGAGUAACCUGCCCUUGACUUUGGGAUAACUUCAGGAAACUGGGGCUAAUACCGGAUAGGAGCUCCUGCUGCAUGGUGGGGGUUGGAAAGUUUCGGCGGUUGGGGAUGGACUCGCGGCUUAUCAGCUUGUUGGUGGGGUAGUGGCUUACCAAGGCUUUGACGGGUAGCCGGCCUGAGAGGGUGACCGGCCACAUUGGGAGUGGGAUACGGCCCAGACUCCUAGGGGGGGGAGCAGGGGGGAAUAUUGCAAAAUGGGGGGAAGCCUGAUGCAGCAACGCCGCGGGGGGGAUGACGGCCUUGGGGUUGUAAACCGUUUUCGCCUGUGACGAAGCGUGAGUGACGGUAAUGGGUAAAGAAGCACCGGCUAACUACGU